UUCGAAGCGAACACACGGAUCCGGCUUGUCCGAGAUCGUCUGCUUUGGGGAAAGUCCUCGAGCCAUCAUCGAAAGGAAAGCCUUUCAGUGGUUGGAUGUCACUGCCUGUCUGGCAAGGAUGGAGCACAACCUGCUCCUAGUCUAUAGGCAGGCAGUCUCAUUACUGGCUAUAGCUACAGUUAUGCAUUUCUUCUGCUCCUUCGGGAGUGGUUGUACUCGACGAGGCUUACA
rnacentral:RNase_MRP_RNA from 2 species